rnacentral:tRNA from 1 species
AUUUAUGUCUAUAUAGAUUAUAUAUUUAAAUC